UUAAGUACAACAAUCUCCUACUCUCUCUAGCCAAAGGAACAGGAAAGGGGAAACCUAGCAAAACAGAAAACCUUUAGACACUAACCACCCUACUUCACACAAACACCACAGAAAAUGAAACAAAACACUGCUCCAGGGACACCUGUGUGGCUCAGUCAUUAAGCAUCUGCCUGUGGCUGAGGUCAUGAUCUCAGGAUCCUGGGAAAGAGCCCCUCACUGGGCUCCCUGCUCCAUGGGAAGCCUGCUUCUCCCUCUCCCACUCCCCCUGCUUAUGUUCUCUCUCUCUGUCAAAUAAAUAAAUAAAAUCUUUAAAAUAAAACACAACACUGCUCUGUUUUCACCCCAGUCAGCAAAAUCCAGAAGUGGGGUAUAGAUCUCUAUGCUUACCUGAGUGUAAUGAAGACUCUCAACUUCUUCACGAGGGUGGUAGCAGAGAAGGUUGAGUAGGGAGCUGGGACUUUCACUUCUGUCUGGUAGCAGGCAUUACGCCCCAUGGUUUCAGUGGAAGCAACAUGAGGAUCCUGGAUUUCUAUUGCCAUCUAACCAUAGUAUGUACUUUCCUUUUUCCCCACCAGUGUCAGAGGAGACAAAGCAGGAAGCCAGAACAUUCACCAUGAUCUAGUAUAAGGAGCCCUCUAUCUGCAGUAUCAGUGGAAGUCAUACCUCUUCUGACAUGUGGCUAUGAGAGUCUUGGUUGCUCAGCUGCUUGCUCAACCUAUUUGAUAUCCUAAGGGAGGAAACCUUGUUACACCUAAGCAGAAAUGGUAUUUCACAUUCUCCACUGAGGGCACUGCUCUGCCUAGAAGAGGGAAAAGCAUCUCCCAAUGCAAAAACCAGGAAAUCUCAACUUGUAUUGGGAAAGAUAAUAGAUGAUAACCCCGAGAAGAUACCUAUGUGGAGAUUAACUGAUAAAGAUUUCAAAGCAGCAUUAUAAAAAUACUUCAGUGAGCAUUAUGAACAGGCUUGAAACAUGAAAAAUUGUAAAAUCUCAAGAAAAAAAUAGAAGAUACCAAGUAGAAAUUUUAAAACUGAAAAUAUAACAACUGAAAUGAAAAACUUGAUGGAUUGGCCCAAUAUCAGAAAGAAGUAGACAGAGGAAAGAAUACAUAAACUUGAAGACACUACAAUACAAAUUAUCCAAUCCAAACAAAAGUGAAAAAAUAGACUGAAAAAGAACAAGACCCAGGAACCUGAAGGACUAUAAUAAAAAAUCUAAAAUUGGAGUCCAGAAGGAGAGCAGAAAUAGUAUGGGGCUGGAAAGUAUCUGAAGUAGUGGCUGAAAAUGUCUCAAAUUUGGAAAACAAAACAAAACAAAACAAAACAACAAAAACCAUAACCUUCAAAUUCAACAAGCCAAGUGAAUUCCAAACAGGCUAGACCCAAAGAAAAGUUUUACAGAUGUGGCUUAGCCUUAAUUAUAUUAAAAGUUCUCCUUUUGUUGGU